AGAGGCAGUGACAAAAAUCAAACAUCCGAUGUGUUCUUUACCUUUCAGUAAGCUCAGCCUCCCUGCUUGUGUCACAUCUCUAAACAUACGUACAUGCGUGAUUGAAACUGUCUAUUGAAAGCAAUAUUACAUUAACAUUAUCAAUACUGAAUUAGAGAAAAUAUCUAUCAAUGUCACCAAUUCCACCUGUCUCUUGAUGUAUGACUUUUUACCUGACAGGCUAAAUAACAAUAGAAAGUUCUUUUUAAAAAAUAGAAGAGUUGCUAUGCAGGGACUUUUUUGGAAUUAAGUGCCCCAGAGAACCUAGAAAUGUGCUUUAAAACUUUUUGUUUCACCUGGCAGAUCCAAAAAAAAUUUGGAAGCUUUUGGUUGAAUUCCCUCAUUACUUGAAGUUGUUUUAUGAAAAUUGAAUAUAUAUAUCUGUUAGGUUACCAAGACUUAUGGUUAGCUAUCUUAAUGGCUAGUGAUAUAAGACCUUGUAACAAACCCUACCAAUGGAACUGACAGGAUUUUACCAGGGAGGAUAUUGCAGUACCUGUAAGAGGAAGGGAUACAAAUUGGCACUUCAUACAUUUGUGAGAACAAUUGCCUUUAAUGUGUCUAUUUGGUUUUCAUAAUAUUGCAGGCCUCUGCUCUUGUAAGAAGUUAGCUGCAGAACCCACAUGUGAAUCCUUGUAGGACUCUGGAGAAGAUCAAAUGGGAGCUUAGAUGUGGAAGCUCUUUGG
rnacentral:lncRNA from 1 species